rnacentral:rRNA from 1 species
UACGGGGGGGGCAAGCGUUGUUCGGAAUUACUGGGCGGAAAGGGCUCGUAGGCGGCCAACUAAGUCAGACGUGAAAUCCCUCGGCUUAACCGGGGAACUGCGUCUGAUACUGGAUGGCUUGAGUUUGGGAGAGGGAUGCGGAAUUCCAGGUGUAGCGGUGAAAUGCGUAGAUAUCUGGAGGAACACCGGUGGCGAAGGCGGCAUCCUGGACCAACACUGACGCUGAGUGAGCGAAAGCCAGGGGAGCAAACGGG